GAUGAACGCUGGCGGCGUGCCUAAUACAUGCAAGUAGAACGCUGAAGGAGGAGCUUGCUCUUUCCGGAUGAGUUGCGAACGGGUGAGUAACGCGUAGGUAACCUGCCUGGUAGCGGGGGAUAACUAUUGGAAACGAUAGCUAAUACCGCAUAACAGUAGAUAUUGCAUGAUAUUUGCUUGAAAGGGGCAAUUGCUCCACUACCAGAUGGACCUGCGUUGUAUUAGCUAGUUGGUGAGGUAACGGCUCACCAAGGCGACGAUACAUAGCCGACCUGAGAGGGUGAUCGGCCACACUGGGACUGAGACACGGCCCAGACUCCUACGGGAGGCAGCAGUAGGGAAUCUUCGGCAAGGGACGGAAGUCUGACCGAGCAACGCCGCGUGAGUGAAGAAGGUUUUCGGAUCGUAAAGCUCUGUUGUAAGAGAAGAACGAGUGUGAGAGUGGAAAGUUCACACUGUGACGGUAUCUUACCAGAAAGGGACGGCUAACUACGUG
rnacentral:rRNA from 1 species